GGACCUCUGGUGGUUACUGUGGUAUUACACUCCAAUAUAAAGUGAAAGUUCAGUUCUUGAGCAAAGUGAAACGAUCUAGCAGCAGCUUAUUACAAGAAUGUACUCUUCCUAAUAUAUACAUGAAAACAAAUGGGCUGCUGUGUUGGGGAUAUCCCUGUAGAUAAGGAAGCACAUUUAGAACAUUCAGGUGUGGUCUUAAUUUUCUUACCUGAGGAGGAUAUGGAAGAGGUUGGAGGUGGCCCCAUAGCUCUUGUGACUUCUACUAAAAUAAAAAGAUUUAUCAAGGCCAACAGGGAGGAUACCACGAUACAUCUUGAUGGAUUUCUAUGGCCACACCAAGGAGCAACCACUCCUCCCCACCGCUGCCACUGUCUCUUUUAGGCAACCCAUGGGAGGAUGAGACAGGGACUGAUUCAGAUGUCCCUGAUACCUAAGCUGAGAGUUAUGAAUCAGUGGCCACAGAUCCUGCCUCAGCCAUUUCGCCAGCAAUGGCAGAUAAUGAGGUGGCUGAAGCAGAAUAUGAAAAUCGGAGGACACAGACCGACCCCAUUAAACCCCAUUUAUUUUCCCGACUGGCUGAGAGCUUUGAUAAUGUUGUUGGGAACAUCAGGGACAUACAGGAGGCACUACAAAGCUUUUUUUUAUUUUGCUUUAUACCUUUUUAUUUCAAUAUUUUAAAAAUACGUUAACUGUUUAUAAUUAAAAAAAACAUUGCUUUAUUCAAAAAUUGCAA